rnacentral:rRNA from 1 species
AUGCACUGCUCAAUUUGUGGCAGAGCUGACCACAACAGGAAGGGGCACUACAGAUGGCAGGAAGCACUAAUUGCAGAAGGAGUAGAGCUUGUUGAUGAGAACUAUGAUGACCCAACAUUUUUUCAGAAUAUCUUAACAUGCCAGAUCCUAGGGUGGAUCCUAGUGAGUCACCAAUCAGUAUGGUUUUUAACAUGGCCAGCAGGGAAAGAGCAAGAAGAACUCCUCAAAGGGUCCACGGCCCACUGCCUGAGCUCUCUUCAUUUGUUGCUGCUGCUGGGGCUGAAAUACCACAACCCAGAGUCACUACAUAAAUGA